GGUUGCUAAGGAGGUGAAGAUGUCUUAGGAGGCGGCCACCCCCCAGGACAUAAGCUGGAGGAGGAGAACCAGGGAGGAGGCUUGUGAGUGCCAGGCGGCACGGAGGUGAUGGAUGGCAUCUGCUGCUGGGAAUCUUCAUGGGCCUGAUCGUCGCCUGGCUUUACUGGUGGAGUCCAUAUGAAGGAGUCCAGGAGUUUCGCUCAUGGAGAUCUGAGGCAUGGAUCCCCAACGAAGCUGCACACGUCAGAAGGACACGUUGGUACGUGGAACCCCCUGCAGCUUGUGGCUGUCGCAUGCCAGAGUCCUCUCAUCUCCAUGGCUGUGACCUGAAAGCAAAAGGCUAAGGCCCCAUGAAGAAGAAACAAUGCAAGCUCUGUAUGAUUGGGGUCGCCCCAAAGCAAAUAGGCAGCAGAGACGGCACUUGGAAAUGUGAAGUGUAAACCGUAUUCCAACUCGGAGAGGGUCUGUGCGAGAUGUGAGCGGCGGUGGCCCCGCAGAAUGUGGUGAAGAACUAGGAUGGCGAUUUAUGACCAUUUUUUGAUGGAGAGAACUUCUUUGGAGCAGGUGGAUUCAUGCUUCCAUCCAGGAUUACUACAAUGACAACACAGAAUCCAAUGUCACUUUUAUACAGUCACUAUUCUGCCAGUAUAUAUUUUAUUAUAACUUGU